UCGCCGCGUCGCGCCGGCCGGCCGCCGACGGCCUGAGGCCAGGCGCCUUGCACCCGCGACCCUCGCCCGAGCCGGCGACCUCCAACAGCUCCUCCCCGUCGUCCUUGCGGUGCCUCCAGGGCCCUCCCGAGCCCUGCCUCGUUCCCACCGUCAUCGCCCGUUCAUCGUGCCGCCAAGCCGCCAGGGCCUUCCUCCUCCUCCCGUGCGCCUCGUCGGACCAGCCGCCGCCGGCGACCCGAGACCAGGCGCCACCAGCAGG
rnacentral:rRNA from 1 species